AGCAGUCGCCACGGUAAUACGUAGGUCCCGAGCGUUGUCCGGAUUUAUUGGGCGUAAAGGGAGCGCAGGCGGUUUAGUAAGUCUGAAGUUAAAGGCAUUGGCUCAACCAAUGUAUGCUUUGGAAACUGUUAGACUUGAGUGCAGAAGGGGAGAGUGGAAUUCCAUGUGUAGCGGUGAAAUGCGUAGAUAUAUGGAGGAACGCCGGUGGCGAAAGCGGCUCUCUGGUCUGUCACUGACGCUGAGGCUCGAAAGCGUGGGUAGCGAACAGGAUUAGAUACCCCAGUAGUCCCUGUCUCUUAUACA
rnacentral:rRNA from 1 species